UCGGUGGGACAUGCCGUGCAAUUUUUUGUUCAAAUUAUGUACAAAUAGAUUGGUCUAAUCCCUCAUUUGUUAACAGACAUUAGUUAAACGAUAAUGCUCAGCAGAGGCAAAUGUGUAGCUCACAGGAUUCACCGCAAUGGCGUUGGAGACCUGCUUUCCUUUUACUGUUUCAGGUGGCAAUUUCUCUACUCUUCAACCUCAACUCUUUUCUUUGUAAAUUACCUGGUUGAUUCUCUAGGGUUCUCCAAAGAAGAAGCAACCUCUACAUAUUCCAAGUUAUCUUCACGGAAAACCACCAGAGAUCCCGAUUUAGUCCUCAAUUUCUUGAAACAAACCGGUUUUGACAACUCCCAGAUCAAAAUAAUGGUCUCUAGAGCACCCAAAUUGCUAUUCUCUGAUGUUUCUAAAACCCUAAAACCCAAAUUCCAGUGCCUUGUGGACCUUGGGCUAUCCGGGUCGGACCUGGUGAAUGUAAUUGCUAAAAAUACAAAAAUUAUGAUAAUAGGUUUAGAUACUCAUAUGAGACCUACCAUUGAUUGUCUUAGGAGAACUUUGGUCACUGACGAAAAUGUAGUUACGGCUAUAAAGAGAAGUCCUAGGUUGCUUUCUUUUGGUGCCCGUCAUAUUAUGGAUACUAAUGUAUUGUUGUUGAAAAACUGUGGUAUUUCUGAUGCGAGAAUUAAAAAAUUUGUGCUCCAAAAUCCUUCUCGUGUUGCACAAAAUCCUGAUCGUGUUAAGUAUUUCUUGCAUAGAGUGGAGAAGGAUUUUCGAGUUCCGCUUGGCUCCCCUAGUUUUCUUUAUGCAUUUCAUGUUUUAUCCGCGCAAAAAAAGUCUACAUUGGAUAGGAAGAUUGCGAUGUUCAAGAGUUUUGGAUGGUCUGAUGAUGAAAUACUCGAGUUAUUCAGGAAGCUACCGCUUUGUAUUGCUCUCUCAGAGGUUAGAAUUGAGAAAGCAUUGAAUCUUUACAUGAAGGAGCUCAGUUUUGAACCUUCUUACUUGGCUUCUCGUCCUGCAUUUUUGGCCUAUAGUCUGGAGAAAAGGGUGAUACCUCGGAUGCAAGUUUUGAAAAUUUUGGAUGAAAAGAAGCUUGAGAGGAGAAAGGUGAGUCUCUAUUAUGUUCUGACCUUAACAGAGUCAAAGUUCAUAGACUAUUUCGUGCCGCCCUACAAGGAUCAGAUACCCGAUCUGUAUGAAUUGCACGAAAAAACUGUAGCUCCUUAACAGUUUUGGUUUACUUUUGGCACUUAAGGUGCUGAGAUCUUUCUAAAAUUGUAAGUAGUAGUUCAAUAAUUUUGUGCUUUUCUUUUUUCAGUUUAUAUUCUAAAAAGCCACAGACGGUGUUGCCAAAAUUCAUUCCUGGAAUUGGGGCAUAGUUUACUGAAACACCUUCCUCGUAUAUACAAGUUUCAACUGCUCUGAGCUAUAUAUGCAAAUUCAACCUUGCCAUUUGAAGCUUUUCGAAUUCAACAGAUCUUGAUAACUGAUUCCCUUUGGCAGUUACCACCAAGUUUGUUCCAGAAGACAAAAUAAAAUACUUUUUCCGCUUUGGCAUUGGUUAUAUGAUAUAAGGGUCUGAUUUUCUCUCUGAUGAAUGACAAAAGGAUGUGUGAUUUCCCAUUGGGAAGUUCUUCUAUCUUGUCUGAGUUUGAUCCUAUAACAUUUUGCGCGAGUUGUUUACUAAUCUAUCCAUUUUAAAGGAACUGGAUUGCAGGAGUUAUGGGUUUAAGUUGCGGAAACCGCCUCUUUCAAAAAUGCAAGGAAACGUUGUGUACAUAAGACCCAAUGUGGUCUGGUCCUUUUCCGGAUCUUGCGCAUGGUGGUAGCUUAGUGCACCGAGCUACCUUUACCUUAGAGUUUAACUCUGUGUCUUAUCUAUAAUGUGAAGUUAACCAUUCUUUUUCAUGUCAUACUUUCUAGUCCUUGAAAUGAUUUUUUGUAUAAUAGUAGUGUCAGGACAAGCUUACGCGAACUUAGACUAUUUCUUCAGGGAUAUAUCACAUACAAGGUGUUCAAUUUUCUUCAGUUGACAUUUGUAAACCUUGUGCUUCAUGGUUUUGUUAAUUUGUCAAGCAUUUGACUAAGAUUUAGUUAUUGUAUCUCCAUUUAAGACA